rnacentral:rRNA from 1 species
UACGGGGGGGGCAAGCGUUGUUCGGAAUUACUGGGCGUAAAGGGCUCGUAGGUGGCCAACUAAGUCAGACGUGAAAUCCCUCAGCUUAACUGGGGAACUGCGUCUGAUACUGGAUGGCUUGAGUCCGGGAGAGGUGAGUGGAACUGCGAGUGUAGAGGUGAAAUUCGUAGAUAUUCGCAAGAACACCAGUGGCGAAGGCGGCUCACUGGCCCGGUACUGACGCUGAGGUGCGAAAGCGUGGGGAGCAAACAGG